CUGUUCCCAGAGAAGUAAAUAACAUGACUGGAUGGGAAUUCUAACAGUGAGGAUUAUGAAAUUACUUUAUUAAAGCUAGGCCUCUCCUAAAAAACAUUAAUAAAUGGCACCCAUUCUCGAGAACUGGCAAUGCUCAAGGAAGACUUCACGGGCCUGAACUUCACAAGAUGAGCACUUGUGAGGGCUUUAGAGACUGUGGAAGAGGUGAAACGCCAGCUCUCGCUCUCCAUGGAAGGGGGAGAUUCACACACAAAACACAAAGAGCGCUGUGAUGUGCAAUGCUUAUCAGAAUGAACACAUCUUCACAUUGCUGUAAUCCCCAGUGAGGACAGAAAAGAGAAAUCACAUUAAAUGUAUUCAGCUUUUUAAAAUGUACUGGCGUGCUUGGUGGUUAAGAGUGCUUGCUGUGGGUUCCUAGCACACACAGCAGGCAACUCACUUGUAACUGCAGUUCCAAGACAAACACCGAAAUAGACACAAUUAAAUAAAUGUAAUUUUAUAAAACAAACAAUCCCCCCCCAAAAAAACGACCAACAAAACAAAACCACCCCCAGAAAUUCUAAAGGACCAAACACAACACUAUUAUGAUAUAGUGCUGAAAUGUGCUAGAACAGAUUCUGAAUAUACACCACAAUCACAGAAAAUCUUAUUUUAAACAGCCACGGAGGGCAUUUCAUUUAAGAGGCACGUGGAAGAAAAAGAAACGAUGUGGGACCGAGCGGGAUUAAGACAAGAGUGCCAACAGCACCAAGGGAAGAAGAUUAAAAAGGAAGACGAGGGGCUGGAGAGAUGGCUCGGUAGCCGAGAGCACAGGCUGCUCUUCCCAGCACCUACACGGUGGCUCACAAUGUCUGUGACUUCAGUUCCAGGGGACUCUAGUGCUCUCUUCUGGCCUACACUGGCACUAGGAAUGCACACACGACAUAUAUGUAGGCAAAACACCCACACAUAUUUUUUAAAAAUGGCCUGAAGUCCUAGGAAUUGGGAAGCUGCACGCGGGGGGGGGGGGUGUCUGCUGUGUCUGGUACCUGUCAGUUACACAUCACAACACCCUAUUAUCUCAAGAAACCAACACCCGCCGCCGCCACCAAAAGUAAAGCACUCAGGUAAUCUAAUUAGAAGGAGUCAGUAGGGGUUGGAGUUUAGAGGUAGAGUGUUUGCCUGCUAGGUUCUGGGUCCAACCCCCAGCGCAGAGAGGGCAGGGAAUUAGAAGUCACGUGUCUUUCAGCAGGCAGAACUUAAGUCGAGCAAGAGAGGUAAAUAGUAAAUGAGAGAUGCAAGAAGCAGGAGGCGGACUACAAACAACACUGAAACACCUGCGUCACCAGAGGGGACAGCAGGUGGCUCAGGAUGAAGACGGCUGCAAAGAGCUUUGGCUUAGAAAAGAGCAGAAUGCAGAAACUGGUUCAAAUGAGCCUUGAGCCUGGGACAAGAAGUAAUUUUCAGGCUGAGGGACUGCAAUAGAGCUCAUCCCCAACUGCCCAAGAGGAGAACUGUUCUGGAAGGAAGUGACACUUCACAAGCAGAACCCCCUUCCCUUCCUCCAAGGCAUGGCCCUCCCCAACCCCAUACCCAGAUCCCAGAGGCCACAGGGAGAUGUGAGCUGAAUGACAACGGCCGCGCCUGUAAUUACUGCUCACACAUUCACAGCAUGAACUGCGCUCCCCGAGGGCCAGCGAACAGCUGACGCCACAAUCACUUCUAAGAGCUGGCUGUUAUGGAUGAGGGUCAAUGUUUUCAUGAAUAAAAUUCAGAUGUUUUAUCACUUAAGAACACAAGCUUCUUGUUAUAAACAGUUUAUGAACUGUUACGCAGUUUAUGAACACUCUUCAUAUCUUCUGGCUCUUUCUGCCGGGACGGCUCAUCGGUACUCACGCUCACUGACUCACCCUGCCCUGGGUAGUACAGGACUCCUACCGCCUUCAGGGAAGCAAGCCACGGAGAACGGAGAGGCUUGGUUGGGAGUUUCCACCAGUUACAAGCCAGUACUCUUCUAUGUUCACAGUUCUGUUUUCACACACGGAGACCUUUUCCCUUAUUAGUCUGAAGGUCCACUCUGAUCGCGCUGUACUGUUCUGCCCAGACCCUGCUAUCAGAUGCCAGGCUGUUUCUAGCAUUUCCACUGCACUGAAACCGCUCCAUGAACAGCCUGACUUGCGACUGUACUCAGGAGGCUGAGGUGGAAGGAGGGCAAACUGCAGGCAUACCUGGGCUGGAUAGUGUCUCAAAACAUUAAGGAAGAAAACUCUGACGACAUCUAAAUAGUCAAUGUCACUAGUCAAUAAGAAACGAAAAUUAGAACUGAAACGAGAGCCUGGUGUGGGUGCAGGAACAUGCAGCUGAGGCAGGGCUUCUCUGAGUUCCACGUCAACCUGAGCUAUACAGUGUGUUCCAGGCCGGCCUGGGUUACACAAUCUCAUACAACAAUAACAAUGAAAUGGAAGUGACUUAUGACACACCUGUUAGAAUGGUUAAAUAAAAAAGGGGGCCGUACCCAAUGCUGGCGAAGCUGUGGCAUCACUACAACUCUUGAUGGGGAAUAUAAGAUGGUUUAUCACAUCAGAAAACUACCUAGAUAGUUCUUACAAAUUAAACAAGAUACUUGGCAUGGUGGCUAAUGAAAUCCCAGCACUUACAAUGUUCUCUCUCUCUCUCAAAAGUAAAUAUACACCUAUGAUUUAAUAUAGUCAUUCCUUUGUGUCCACACAAAGCCUUUCACAUGUAAAGGUUCAUGGUGACUUUAUUUAUAGUAAUAACAAAGUUUGGAAUAAUGCAGAUACUAAGAUGAAUGUAUAAAACAAAACUAUAGUUCGAGGCCAGCCUGGUCUACAAGAGCUAGUUCCAGGACAGGAACCAAAAAGCUACGGAGAAACCCUGUCUCGAAAAUCAAAAAAAAAAAAAACAAA